rnacentral:rRNA from 1 species
GUAGGGAAUCUUCCAACAAUGGGACGAAAGCCUGAUGGAGCAACGCCGCGUGUGUGAUGAAGGGUUUCGGCUCGUAAAACACUGUUGUAAGAGAAGAAUGACAUUGAGAGUAACUGUUCAAUGUGUGACGGUAUCUUACCAGAAAGGAACGGCUAAAUACGUGCCAG